rnacentral:rRNA from 1 species
GUGCACAUCUUGACGGUACCUAACCAGAAAGCCACGGCUAACUACGUGCCAGCAGCCGCGGUAAUACGUAGGUGGCAAGCGUUAUCCGGAAUUAUUGGGCGUAAAGCGCGCGUAGGCGGUUUUUUAAGUCUGAUGUGAAAGCCCACGGCUCAACCGUGGAGGGUCAUUGGAAACUGGAAAACUUGAGUGCAGAAGAGGAAAGUGGAAUUCCAUGUGUAGCGGUGAAAUGCGCAGAGAUAUGGAGGAACACCAGUGGCGAAGGCGGCUUUCUGGUCUGCAACUGACGCUGAUGUGCGAAAGCGUGGGGAUCAAACAGGAUUAGAUACCCUGGUAGUCCACGCCGUAAACGA